CAACCUCAACUCAUAUGGGACUACCCCCUGAAUUUAAGCAUAUUAAUUAGGGGAGGAAAAGAAACUAACAAGGAUUUUCUUAGUAGCGGCGAGCGAAAAGAAAUCAGUUCAGCACUAAGUCACUUUGUCUAUAUGGCAAAUGUGGGAUGCAGUGUAUGGAGCGUCAAUAUUCUAGUAUGAGAAAUUAACGAUUUAAGUCCUUCUUAAAUGAGGCCAUUUACCCAUAGAGGGUGCCAGGCCCGUAUAACGUUAAUGAUUACUAGAUGAUGUUUCCAAAGAGUCGUGUUGCUUGAUAGUGCAGCACUAAGUGGGUGGUAAACUCCAUCUAAAACUAAAUAUAACCAUGAGACCGAUAGUAAACAAGUACCGUGAGGGAAAGUUGAAAAGAACUCUGAAUAGAGAGUUAAACAGUACGUGAAACUGCUUAGAGGUUAAGCCCGAUGAACCUGAAUAUCCGUUAUGGAAAAUUCAUCAUUAGAAUUGUAAUAUUUAAACAAUAUUAUGAUAAUAGUGUGCAUUUUUUCCAUAUAAGGACAUUGUAAUCUAUUAGCAUACCAAAUUUAUCAUAAAAUAUAACUUAUAGUUUAUUCAAAUUAAUUUGCUUGCAUUUUAACACAGAAUAAAUGUUAUUAAUUUGAUAAAGUGCUGAUAGAUUUAUAUGAAUACAGUGCGUUAAUUUUUCGGAAUUAUAUAAUGGCAUAAUUAUCAUUGAUUUUUGUGUUUAUUAUAUGCACUUGUAGGAUUAACAAUGCGAAAGAUUCAGGAUACCUUCGGGACCCGUCUUGAAACACGGACCAAGGAGUCUAACAUAUGUGCAAGUUAUUGGGAUAUAAACCUAAUAGCGUAAUUAACUUGACUAAUAAUGGGAUUAGUUUUUUAACUAUUUAUAGCUAAUUAACACAAUCCCGGGGCGUUCUAUAUAGUUAUGUAUAAUGAUAUUUAUAUUAUUUAUGCCUCUAACUGGAACGUACCUUGAGCAUAUAUGCUGUGACCCGAAAGAUGGUGAACUAUACUUGAUCAGGUUGAAGUCAGGGGAAACCCUGAUGGAAGACCGAAACAGUUCUGACGUGCAAAUCGAUUGUCAGAAUUGAGUAUAGGGGCGAAAGACCAAUCGAACCAUCUAGUAGCUGGUUCCUUCCGAAGUUUCCCUCAGGAUAGCUGGUGCAUUUUAAUAUUAUAUAAAAUAAUCUUAUCUGGUAAAGCGAAUGAUUAGAGGCCUUAGGGUCGAAACGAUCUUAACCUAUUCUCAAACUUUAAAUGGGUAAGAACCUUAACUUUCUUGAUAUGAAGUUCAAGGUUAUGAUAUAAUGUGCCCAGUGGGCCACUUUUGGUAAGCAGAACUGGCGCUGUGGGAUGAACCAAACGUAAUGUUACGGUGCCCAAAUUAACAACUCAUGCAGAUACCAUGAAAGGCGUUGGUUGCUUAAAACAGCAGGACGGUGAUCAUGGAAGUCGAAAUCCGCUAAGGAGUGUGUAACAACUCACCUGCCGAAGCAACUAGCCCUUAAAAUGGAUGGCGCUUAAGUUGUAUACCUAUACAUUACCGCUAAAGUAGAUGAUUUAUAUUACUUGUAAUAUAAAUUUUGAAACUUUAGUGAGUAGGAAGGUACAAUGGUAUGCGUAGAAGUGUUUGGCGUAAGCCUGCAUGGAGCUGCCAUUGGUACAGAUCUUGGUGGUAGUAGCAAAUAAUCGAAUGAGACCUUGGAGGACUGAAGUGGAGAAGGGUUUCGUGUGAACAGUGGUUGAUCACGAGUUAGUCGGUCCUAAGUUCAAGGCGAAAGCCGAAAAUUUUCAAGUAAAAUACAAAUGCCAAACAAAUAUAUAUAUUAUAUAAAAUCUAGCUAAAUUAAUAUACUUGAAUAAUUUUGAACGAAAGGGAAUACGGUUCCAAUUCCGUAACCUGUUGAGUAUCCGUUUGUUAUUAAAUAUGGGCCUCGUGCUCAUCCUGGCAACAGGAACGACCAUAAAGAAGCCGUCGAGAGAUAUCGGAAGAGUUUUCUUUUCUGUUUUAUAGCCGUACUACCAUGGAAGUCUUUCGCAGAGAGAUAUGGUAGAUGGGCUAGAAGAGCAUGACAUAUACUGUUGUGUCGAUAUUUUCUCCUCGGACCUUGAAAAUUUAUGGUGGGGACACGCAAACUUCUCAACAGGCCGUACCAAUAUCCGCAGCUGGUCUCCAAGGUGAAGAGUCUCUAGUCGAUAGAAUAAUGUAGGUAAGGGAAGUCGGCAAAUUAGAUCCGUAACUUCGGGAUAAGGAUUGGCUCUGAAGAUUGAGAUAGUCGGGCUUGAUUGGGAAACAAUAACAUGGUUUAUGUGCUCGUUCUGGGUAAAUAGAGUUUCUAGCAUUUAUGUUAGUUACUUGUUCCCCGGAUAGUUUAGUUACGUAGCCAAUUGUGGAACUUUCUUGCUAAAAUUUUUAAGAAUACUAAUUGGGUUAAACCAAUUAGUUCUUAUUAAUUAUAACGAUUAUCAAUUAACAAUCAAUUCAGAACUGGCACGGACUUGGGGAAUCCGACUGUCUAAUUAAAACAAAGCAUUGUGAUGGCCCUAGCGGGUGUUGACACAAUGUGAUUUCUGCCCAGUGCUCUGAAUGUCAAAGUGAAGAAAUUCAAGUAAGCGCGGGUCAACGGCGGGAGUAACUAUGACUCUCUUAAGGUAGCCAAAUGCCUCGUCAUCUAAUUAGUGACGCGCAUGAAUGGAUUAACGAGAUUCCUACUGUCCCUAUCUACUAUCUAGCGAAACCACAGCCAAGGGAACGGGCUUGGAAUAAUUAGCGGGGAAAGAAGACCCUUUUGAGCUUGACUCUAAUCUGGCAGUGUAAGGAGACAUAAGAGGUGUAGAAUAAGUGGGAGAUAUUAGACCUCGGUUUGGUAUCGCCAAUGAAAUACCACUACUCUUAUUGUUUCCUUACUUACUUGAUUAAAUGGAACGUGUAUCAUUUCCUAGCCAUUAUACGGAUAUAUUUAUUAUAUCUUAUGGUAUUGGGUUUUGAUGCAAGCUUCUUGAUCAAAGUAUCACGAGUUUGUUAUAUAAUCGCAAACAAAUUCUUUAAUAAAACGGUGCAUUUAUGUAUUUUUGAUUUGAAAAUUUGGUAUAACUCCAAUUACUCAGGUAUGAUCCAAUUCAAGGACAUUGCCAGGUAGGGAGUUUGACUGGGGCGGUACAUCUCUCAAAUAAUAACGGAGGUGUCCCAAGGCCAGCUCAGUGCGGACAGAAACCACACAUAGAGCAAAAGGGCAAAUGCUGACUUGAUCUCGGUGUUCAGUACACACAGGGACAGCAAAAGCUCGGCCUAUCGAUCCUUUUGGUUUAAAGAGUUUUUAACAAGAGGUGUCAGAAAAGUUACCAUAGGGAUAACUGGCUUGUGGCGGCCAAGCGUUCAUAGCGACGUCGCUUUUUGAUCCUUCGAUGUCGGCUCUUCCUAUCAUUGUGAAGCAAAAUUCACCAAGCGUUGGAUUGUUCACCCAUGCAAGGGAACGUGAGCUGGGUUUAGACCGUCGUGAGACAGGUUAGUUUUACCCUACUAAUGACAAAACGUUGUUGCGACAGCAUUCCUGCGUAGUACGAGAGGAACCGCAGGUACGGACCAAUGGCACAAUACUUGUUCGAGCGAACAGUGGUAUGACGCUACGUCCGUUGGAUUAUGCCUGAACGCCUCUAAGGUCGUAUCCGUGCUGGACUGCAAUGAUAAAUAAGGGGCAAUGUGCAUUGUAUGGCUUCUAAACCAUUUAAAGUUUAUAAUUUACUUUUUAAACGACAAUGGAUGUGAUGCCAAUGUAAUUUGUAACAUAGUAAAUUGGGAGGAUCUUUGAUCACCUGAUGCCGCGCUAGUUACAUAUAAAAGCAUUAUUUAAUACAAUGACAAAGCCUAGAAUCAAUUGUAAACGACUUUUGUAACAGGCAAGGUGUUGUAAGUGGUUGAGCAGCUGCCAUACUGCGAUCCACUGAAGCUUAUCCUUUGCUUGAUGAUUCGA